rnacentral:lncRNA from 1 species
CUUAGGGUCGGUUUGUAUGUUGGAAAAAGAGCAAAAAAUCCAACACGUAUUGACAUUAGAUUACCAUGGUUGCUUAUUAAGUAUAACAUAAUUUUAUAAUCCUGAAUCUUUUUGCAGAUGGAGAUAGAAUUGAAUUAGAUAAAGCGUUAAAGAGACCUUGCAGAAUCACAACUAGAAAUAGGGCAGUUGCUUCAGAUAGAUUUGUGAAGGUGUAAACCGAGAUUUGAACCCAACUUUUUAUUUUAUUUUUUAUUUCCCACCUGACUUAUCUCCCUAAUUGCAAGUUAUCCCCUAUAUUUGUCUUCUUUUUGUUUGUUGUGUUUGUUGUCUCUGUAUUAUCAAUCAAAGCGGAAACAAACGAUAUUCAACUGCCGUGACUCAAGCACGUAAAUGUAUGCGAUUGGAAAAUUGUUGGGUUAUGGUCAAUUCAACACCACAAAUACGCAUAAAGUUUUCCUAAACUGUAGAUUGUCUGUAUCAUUUUUAGUCCUUUUUCUGGGAGUGUGAUUGUUUCAGUUUUCUUUACAGCAUAAUAAAUUACAUUUUCAUUCUCUUUAUCCCAUUUUAUUCUUAAAAAUAUUUUCAUGAUGUCACAGAUAUGCUUAUCAGCCUAUUGAUGUUUUGUUGUAAAGGUCCAACUUUAAUGUUCAUGUUAUUAAAUGACACGUGGAAAAUCGGUAUAUUUGCUAUUAGUAAGAAUGUAAUAGUAAUCCAUUGGUUUCUUAGUUUUAUACUUAUAUUUUAUUUUAUUAUCAUCUUUUGCUAUUUUAUCACGUUUACGGUUACAAUUUACAACAAAUGACAACACUACAGUAGUCUCUUUUCUCUGGUACACAACCACACACUCGGUAAAAAAUCUACCUUAUUUUUUUAGAUUGGUCAACUCAACUGUUGACUUUCAGUUGACAAUGUACUUCAUUGUUUGAUAUAAGUUUUCUGUUUGGUUAACACUUUUUAUAUAUACAAGGUUACAACUAGAUUAUAAUAAAUAUUAUUAUAUUAAUAAUAAUCCUAUUUUUUUGUGUAGCAGGUGGGCCUGCCAACAUGAGCUUGAAAUCAAAUAUGCUUAUGAACAUGUUUGGGGGACUUGAAACUGGUGGCUUCACAAUGCCAAACAAUACAAAUGGUAAUUAAAAUAUUUACUUAUAUUUACUAUCAAAACCAUCCUUCAUAUCUCACAAGUUAAAUUGGUAAGACUGUCAUUAGAAAAAUUUGAAGAAACUGAGGAAGCACACCAUGUAUUCGAUAAAAUGCAUAGUUGAAAUUUGGGUAUUUGUAAAAUGUUUUAUCUAUACAAUUGAAUCAAUGGUAGAGAUGUGUUUACUAAAAGUUCCUCCUAUGUUUCUUUCAUUUUCUGGUGGGAUUUAUUUUGAACGGAAACGUUAUAAGUGUCCCUUAAAUGUAGUUUAUGACCGCCUUGAAGAUCUUCUGAAUGUGUUAUGUUUAAUUUUAACAGCUUUUGAUCAAAGCAAACACAACAAAUCACUAAAUAGUGAGUUUAAUAGUUUUUGUCCAAAAUGCCCAUACAUAUUGUUUUUUGUUAAAAAAUAAUAACUUUAACAGUUUCGACCAAAAUGCUACUACAUACUGUUCCUUAUUUCUUUUGCCAAAAUGCCACUGCAUAUUGUUUUUUUGAUAAAAAAAAUGAUUUUAACACUUUUGACCAAAUUGCCCCUACAUAUUGUUCUUUUGUUAAAAUAUAGUUAUUUUAAGAGUUUUUGAUGAAACUGUCCCUACAUACUUCUGCUUUUUAUUAAAAAAUAAUGAUUUUAACAUUAUUUGUCCAAAAUGAUCCUAUAUAAUUUUUUUGGGUACAAAAUUAAUGAUUUUAUAGUUUUUGACCAAACUGCCCCUCCAUACAGUUUUUUUUUCUUCUAUAUCAAUUGAUCAAUGUAUUGGCACUUUUUGUUU